GAUGAACGCUGGCGGCGUGCCUAAUACAUGCAAGUCGAGCGAACAGAUGAGGAGCUUGCUCCUCUGACGUUAGCGGCGGACGGGUGAGUAACACGUGGAUAACCUACCUAUAAGACUGGGAUAACUUCGGGAAACCGGAGCUAAUACCGGAUAAUAUAUUGAACCGCAUGGUUCAAUAGUGAAAGACGGUUUUGCUGUCACUUAUAGAUGGAUCCGCGCCGCAUUAGCUAGUUGGUAAGGUAACGGCUUACCAAGGCAACGAUGCGUAGCCGACCUGAGAGGGUGAUCGGCCACACUGGAACUGAGACACGGUCCAGACUCCUACGGGAGGCAGCAGUAGGGAAUAUUCCGCAAUGGGCGAAAGCAUGACGGAGCAACGCCGCGUGAGUGAUGAAGGUCUUCGGAUCGUAAAACUCUGUUAUUAGGGAAGAACAAAUGUGUAAGUAACUAUGCACGUCUUGACGGUACCUAAUCAGAAAGCCACGGCUAACUACGUG
rnacentral:rRNA from 1 species